rnacentral:lncRNA from 1 species
CUUAAAUGAGAUGGUGAGUGAAUUCGAUAAUAUGAUAAUAUGUAAAAAGCAGAAGUAAUAUAACACAUGUGAAUUCUAAUAGAUAAUGAACAUAUUAAAAAAAAAUGAACCAAGUCAAAUGGUGUCAUUUCUGGACAGGUAGGUGGAAAUGCUGGCCUAACAGCAGGUCAGUAUGGGAAACAGCUUUGGAAUCUCCCCAAAUUACACUAUGCAAGAGGCAUUUAUAAGUCUGAUCUGGCUCUGGGUACAGUACCCUCAAAAACAAUAAUUAUAACUAAGUGAUAGCAGAAUAGAACUAGCACAUUUACUUUCUUACCUGACAAUGUAAACUUUGGUCCAGAGUAAGCACGAACAAAAGGAACAAAAUAGUAUGUAUUUUCCUCUAGGUAAAUUUAUAGACAGUGUAGCAUAGAAAUCAAAUAAAAUAUCAGCUGAUCCAUAAAGCAGAUUUUCAAAAGUUAAAUACUCAGAAAUUUGGCCACUCUAACUGCCUUUUUGUCUUUUCUGUCUUUUUAGGGCCACAUUCACAGCAUAUGGAGGUUUCCAGCCUAGGGGUCAAAUCGGAGCUGUAGCUGCUGGCCUGCACCACAGCAACACUGAAUCCUUAACCCACUGAGCAAGGCCAGGGAUUGAUCCCACAUCCUCAUGGAUACUAGCUGAGUUCCUUAACCACUGAGUCAUGACAGGAACUCCCCUAACUGCUUAAUAAACUUUAUGCUUCUUGCUAAUCUCAUAUUUAAAAUAUAAUUUUGAUUUUUAUACACUAAUAUUUUUGAAUUUCUUAUUUCUAGAUGUUCUUACUUUUUCAGACUUUGUAAGCUAGGCCUAAUUGUCUUAUUCAUUCUCCUCACUCUACAUGAUUUAGUAUUUAGAGCACUUUGUUCUUGAGGUUAAAACAUGGUGCAUUCUACUCCUGGGAACCUCCAUCUGCUGCGGGAGUGGCCCAAAGAAAUAGCAAAAAGACAAAAAAAAAAAAAAAAAAAAAAAGUGUCCAAUUAGUAUGCUUACUGAACUCUCAGCCCUUUCUUUUUUAAUCCCAGUAUUAAUUAUUAACACUGAUAAAAUGUGUGGCCGUAUUACCUUUUUUAUUCUAAUUUGGUCCUUUAAAACUGGAUCACUCUGGUGAGCCCUUAUGACAUUCGAGGAGAGAAUGAGCUCUCAUCAAAUCUUACAGUGACUUUGGAGGUCAGUUAGUGGGUGUGUCACCUCCAGACUCUCAAAGCAUUUGCUUAUCUGAAUUUCAGCACACUUGUUAGAUAAUGAAUUCUUUAUUUAGUUAAGGUAUUACACAUUUCUUGCAUUCUUCUUUGCUUAUAGAAUGUAUAUACUUCUGUUCUUUGAUUUUUUAUUCUAGAACUGUGUAAAAAAAA